UUACCGCCCAAAAACUACUAGUAGUCCUCCCAGAAGCCUUUGCUGAGCAGUUGCCCCUGGGAAGCAGAAAGAGAACAUUUCAGCAUUUGGGUUCUUAUGAGAAGGCACACACUCGUGUGGGACCCUCCAUGUCUAUAGCAAGAGAACUCCUGCAUCCUGGGUCUCAAGAAGGCCUGUGAAUAUAUCUGGGGUUCCAGAUGGACCUCAGACUCCACUCCAACCCAAACAAGAUGGCCACCGAACCACAGAACCUCGGGGCUGGAAGAUGGUUUGCUUGUGUCUAAGCUUCCGCACCCUCAUCUGCCCUCCAGCCAUGCUCAACACAUCUACUCCACAUCUCCUCAGAGUCUGGGGCCCCUUUGUGUUCUCCCAGCUUCUGGAAUCAUAGAAACUGCCAGUGACUCAGAGAGAAAACCAGAAGGUGAGGAAUGUGCUGGUGGCACAAAUGCUUGUCCCAGUGGUGCCCUUUGAAGACGAAGGCCAAAUCUCCAAGGAAGGAACACUACCUUCGUAUGGCCUCAUCUUUCAAAAAGUCACCAUUAUCUCCAGGUACCUCUUCAAUGCCUGCAAACUCUAAAUGGUAAGGCUGUGGCCAGUCCACAAAGCCCACAUCUGAAGACACUCUGUGCUGUGAAUCUCCCUUCCGAGACAAGCAAAGAAUGCUUUCUCCAGACGGUGAAACAGGUUACAUAGGCCCUGCCCAAAUCAACUCUUGAAGAAAUGGGAUAUGACACAUGGUUAAGUCCAGACAGCCGAACACAGGGUAGAGCGGAAGUUCCCCUCUGUCUGCACCGUUUUUUGCUGAGGGCUCGUGUGUUAAAUAUCCUGUUUCAUGUCCAGUACACUUAAAGAGAACAGAAAUCAGAACCAGCAAGGAUGGCAAAGGGACCAGCACAGCAUUUAUUGGGAUGAUUUACUAAAUAACUGUAUACACCCAACACUAGAACAUGGCAAUGACAGUGACCUUUAAGAUACAGCAAGGCUCAAAAGUAAAGUCCUUCAAGAAUCACCAAAGCUUCUUAGUACUGCAUCUUUGAUAAAUAGAACGACUAAAAUUAGCAAAGUUAGAUGUAUCUCAUCAAUGCUAAAACUCAGUAUUGCCAACACAUUACUCUACUUAAAAAGCAAAUUUACUCCUAAGUCAGAAAUUACCAUGGGUUGACUAUUUGUUGGCAAAUGCCAGAGAGAUAUUUGAUGAUACAAAGCACCUAGUCCUCUAGAACUUGAAGGGUGUUCUUGUAGUCAUCAGUAAGAAUAUCUACAUUCCCAGUGGGUCAAUUUCUCCACUUGCAUGGACAGGAAGUCUGCACCCUCGCUUCAUCUCAUAGCUGUGUGAUUAAUCAUCAACAAAGCCUCUGCUCUACUGGAUUAAAACACGAGACAAAAACUUACUAUAAUCUUCCAAGAACCAAGACAGACUGAAUGUAUGUGUGUGGUCAAUACACUAUAGUAUGAAGGGAUAUUUUGUUUUCUAAUGACAAGUAGUAAGUGUUUUGAAAGAUACACAGAAAUGCAUUAUUUUUAAAAGUGCAUUACCUUGUUCUUACUAGUCUCAAUAAAUUUAAAUAUAAAAUCUAA